rnacentral:tRNA from 2 species
GCUGCUUUAGCUCAGUCGGUAGAGCGUCACCUUGGUAAGGUGGAGGUCACGGGUUCAAUCCCCGUAAGUAGCU